UCCGAGGCUUGUCUUGGGCUGCCGCCAGGAGUCGAAGACCUCCCCACAGCUCGCCAGAAUCUUUCAAGUUUAUACGGAGGUCUCAGCUGGGUUCAGUCAAGUGUAUGAUCCAGACCCUCUCAACGUUGCUCUCCGGAGAAAGUGAACUUAAAAACUGGCUCCCACGGUGGAAACAGCUGACGGAGCCCUUCUUUUCCAAGCACGGGGGAGGGAGGGGUGAGGAGCCUCUGAUUGCCCGGGGGCCAACUCAACGGUUAACUAGAGGUCACACCCUAUGGAUGACCUCCUUCCACAGGCAAUUUGCUGCAGUGAUCUACAUCUUAGUUCCGGUAACUACAAAGCACAUAGGAAGGAAAGCAGCAAAGAAUAUCAAUGAAACCAGAAGUUGGUUCUUUGAAAGAAGUAACAAAAUUGAUAAACCACUAGCCAGUUUGAGGAAAAAGAAAAAGGAAAGGACCCAAAUAAAUAAAACCAAUAAUGAAAGAGGAGAGAUCACAACCAACACAGUGGAUAUAAAACAAUAAUAAGAGAAUAUUAUGAGCAAUUAUAUGCCAAUAAAAUGGGCAACCUGGAAGAAAUGGACAAAUUCCUAGAAACAUACACUAUCAAAAAUGAAACAGGGAGAAAUAGAAAAUUUGAACAGACUUAUAACCCGUAAAGAAAUCGAAUUAGUAAUCAAAAAUCUCCCAAAAUACAAGAGUCCAGGGCCAGAUGGCUUUCCAGGGGAAUUCUACCAAACAUUUAAGGAAUAGUUAACACCUAUUCUCUUGAAGCUGUUACAGAAAAUAGAAAUGAAAGGAAAACUUCCAAACUCUUUCUAUAAAGCCAGCAUUACCUUGAUUCCAAAACCAGAGACCUCACUAAAAAGGAGAACUAUAGACCAAUUUCCCUGAUGAACAUGGAUGCAAAAAUCCUCAACAAGAUAUUAGCCAACUGGAUCCAAUGAUACAUUAAAAAAAUUAUUCACCAUGACCAAGUGGUAAUUAUACCUGGGAUGCAGGGCUGGUUAAAUAUCUGCAAAACACUUAAUGUGAUUCAUCACAUCAAUAAAAGGACAAGAACCAUAUGAUCCUCUCAAUAGAUGCAGAGAAUGCAUUUGACAAAAUACAACAUCCUUUCUUGAUAAAAACCCUCAAGAAAGUAGGGAUAGAAGGAUCAUACCUCGAGAUCAUAAAAGCCAUAUAUUAAUGACCCAGUGCUAAUAUCAUCCUCAAUGGGGAAAAACUGACAGCUUCCCCCCUAAGGUCAGGAACAAGACAGGGAUGUCCACUCUCGCCACUGUUAUUCAACAUAGUAUUGGAAUUCUUAGCCUCUGCAAUCAGACAACACAAAGAAAUGAGAGACAUCCAAAUUGGCCAGGAGGAGGCCAACUUUCACUCUCCACAAAUGACAUGAUACUCUAUAUGGAAAACCGUAAAGAUUCCCCUAAAAAACUGACAGAACUGAUUCACAAAUUCAGCAAAGUUGUGGGAUAUAAAAUCAAGGCACAGAAAUCGGUUGCAUUCCUAUACACCAACAAUAAAGCAACAGAAAGAGAAAUCAAGGAAGUGACCCCAUUUACAAUUGCACCAAAAACCAUAAAAUACCUAGGAAUAAAUCUAACCAAAGAGGUGAAAAAUCUGUACACUGAAAACUAUAGAAAGCUUGUGAAAGAAAUUGAGGAAAUCUCCACUUCUAAGGUAAGUGUUUUGUUUUGUUUCUGGUUUGGUUUUGUUUUGAGAAUGUUAACAGUAGAAACAGAAUAUCUUGAUUACCCAAGACAUUUGUUUUUGUAAAGUACUGCAAUUUCUAAGAAUUUGAGGAGGUUUACAAAGAAAAAUGAUUUUUAAAAAGCCAUUUUGUUGUCUAUAUUGUGAGGUCUUUUCAGGAUUCAAUGAUGUAAAAUUAUUUCUGUCAUAAAUAAGUACAUAAUAAGAUAUGUUUCCCCUGAAAUAGGUAAUUUUGUUUAAGGAAAUCAUUUGAACCAAAAAAUUAUAUUUUGCUUUGAAAUCUAUUUUGAAAUCUUAGCCGACAGGUUAUGGGUAGAAAUAGCUAAGUCCCUGGAUAAAAAUCAACUCCAUUUAAAUGGAAAUGUUGUGGAAUGAUGUAAGUGUACAACCUCUUACUCCUAUUAUGGAAAUAGUACAAAAAAAAGUUUCUCAGGCUGAACAACCUAAGAAGUUGUUUGAAAAAGCCAAAUUAUUCCAAUUUUUAAAGUAAAUUUCUGAACGAAUAAUUUUAUUCAUAUUGUACAGGCCAAUGGAAUUCUGCCAUUUUAAGUAUAGUGCUUGGGAAAUUUCUGAAAUAUGUUCACAGCAGAGGCAACCCAUUUUCAAAAUAAGAUAGAUAGAUGACUGGAGAUAUAUGCCUUAUGUUUUGAAAUAAUGUGAAAUCCAUGGAAUACCUUUGAACCACUUUUGUCCUCUAAAUUGAAUCUAAAUCCAAACAGGCCAUUGUACUUCCCGUUUAAAGAAAAUAUUGGGCAUACAGGAAUAAGAAAUGCCCUACCUUCAGGAAGUAAUCAGUCAAAUCCGAAUACCAGAUAUUUUAGGAAAACUGACCUCAUUUCUGAGCUGUCAGUGUGAAAAAGAGGAAUGGGGGACAGGAGCAUUCUAAAUUAAAAGAGAAAGAGUAUAAAACAACUGAAUAAAAGCAGUGUGUUUUAUUUAGGUUCUGAUUUGAAUAAUUCAGCCAAUUUGAUAACACAAUUAGGAAAUUUGUGUGAAAUGAUAGUGAAGUAUUUUUGUUAAUUGUGUUAAAUAUGAUAAUGGUAUUGAGAUUAUGAAAAAUUGUCUCCUAUUAGAGGCACAUUACAGUAUUUGAUAAUGAGAUGAUAUGAUGUCCUGGAAUUGCUUUAAAGUCAUGAACCAAAAAAGGAAAUGAAAAGGAUGGAUGAAACAUUGUAAUAGAAUGUGUAUCAUUAUUGAUGGUGGGUGAUGGGACAAGGGGGUAUGUUGAUUUCUCUACUUUUUGUACAUUCAGAUGCGUAUUCUAUAAAACUCAAAAUCAGAGUAAAUAGAUACAAAUACUUAUCUUGUAACUACAAAAUCCCAAAAUAAUUAUACAAAAGGAAUAAAAGAAAUGUAAACUCAUAAGCUAGAAGAGAACUAGAAAGCGAGCACCAGAGGAAAAGGAAUUCCAACAAAAAAUCUGAAAGAUAGAAUGUGCAUGUGUAUAUUUGUGUGUUUAGAUGUGAAUAUAUCUAUCUAUGAAUGAGGAAAAUCUCGGUUUAGAGUGUUGUUUUUUCCUUUUGGCUUCUAUAUUAUCCAGGAAAUAAAGGGAGACAUUAUUAAGUGUGAGAGAAUAGAUAGGGUCCUAGUUGGAAAUUUGAAGAAAGUAGAUAAUAUUUUCAAUUAGUUCCAUGAAAAAAUGAACUGGAAAAAAGUGUUUUGUAGGGAAACAUUGUUCCAUUGGUCUACAUAUUUGUAAGCUACAACUGUAGCCAACGGCCCUGAAAGUGUAGUGGUGUUAACAAAAAUAGACGUGUGAUUUUUUUUUUUUUCCUUUGAGGUAUUCAGGCUUCCUGGAGCUGUGAGAUUUUUGUGUUUGAUUUGAUUGGGAUUGGGGUUUAGCCAAAGGGGCACAUUAGAAAUUUAAAGAGGCAAGGAUAGUUAGUAUACUGGCAGGAAAGUUGAUAGAAAUGGUGGACUAUGGAACCUAAACUCUGUAGAGAAUAACAUGAAGAUAUAAAUGAGCUGGUGAAUAGGAAGAAACUUCAAGGCUCUUUGAACUGGAGGCACAUAUGAGGUCAAGAUUUGCUGUGUUUGGAGUAAAAAGAAUAAAUUGUGUAGAUGUGGCACAAGACUGUGUGAGGAGUCAGACUCCUUGUUCUGGAGGUCUUGUUCUGGAUAAUGACAGUUGGAUUAAAAUGUUGUAUUUAGAAAAGUAUCUCUAGUUUUUUCUGGGUUAGGUGUUAUUAUUUAUCCAUGGGGCUAUGUUAGUUAUUUGACUCGCUAUCAGUUUCUUUAUUAUACAUCUCCCCAAACUUCUAAUUUCAAAAAAAUUACUUUGAGGGCACCUGGGUUGCUCAGUUGGUUGAACAUCUGACUUGAUUUCAGCUAAAGUCAUGAUCCCAUGUUGGGCCCCAUGCUGAGUAUGGGACUGCUUGAGAUUCUCUCUCUCUCUCCCUCUGCCCUUCUACCCUACUCACACACUCUCUUUCUCUCUCCAAAAUAAAAUAAAGUUAAAAAAAUAAAAUAAAGUUACUUUUUAUAGAUGUAUUAGUUAUGAUCUGAUAGAAAAUGGGAAAAUACAGAGAAAUUUAAAGAAAAAAUAUACAUGAAUAUCCUAUAGACAAUAUGCCAAAAAGAAAAUUGUGCUCAUUAAUUAGUUGUAUUUACUUUGAGUCCUUUUAUGCUCUUUUGCAAGCAUUUUUAAACAAACUAAACAGAAUUAAAAUAUUAAACAAAAGAUUAGUGUCUUUAAUUUUCAGGAAACCUUAGAUUAUGAAAUAUUAUUCAAUAUUCUUCAAAAACCUGAUCAUUAAGAGCUACAUAAUCUUCUGUGAUGAAUGCUGUUGCCAACAUUUCCAAUCAUCUCCUUAGCUUCAAAACAUACAGUUAUUAAACUUAAGGACAUUCUGAUAUCUCUCCCAAAGAUUUUCUGCUUUUCUCUCUCAUCCUCAAGUAAAGUCUUUAAAAGAAACUGAGUUUCCUCAUCAAUGCAUUUAAUUGUUUAAGAGGUAGGAUAUUGGCAAGGAUAAACUUCACAAAUAUGAAAUUGUAUGUAAUGUUAAAUUAAUGGCUUUUAAAAGACACAGUCACUAAACUCAAAUCAAGAACUAAAGGCAGAGUUCAUCAAACAUUCACUUUCUUCAUAAGGAAAAAUAAACUAGAAAAGUUAAAUCUUUUGUAUUUGGCCAUCAUACUAGUCAGUUAAUGAGAAACAGCUACAUUGAUGACCAUGAUACGUGAUGAAGGGUAGCUGUAGUAAGUAGAAUAAAUAUGCCCCUUCAGCAAUAUCCACAUUUUAAUGUCUGGAGGCUGUGAAUGGGUUAUGUCCCAUGACAAGAUGUAGUGGGUGGGAGACUGAAUUUGCAGACGGAAUUAAGGUUGCUAAUCAGUUGACCUUAAAAUAGAUUAUCCUGGAUUAUGUGGGUGAGUUCCACAUAAUCAAGGGUCCUUAAAUAUGGAAGAUAGAGAUAGAGGAGAAUCACAGAAAUGGCAUUAUGAGAGGGACUCAACUCAAGAUUGUUGUCUUUUAAAAUGGAGGAAAGAGCCAUGAGUCAAAGAAAGUGGGAGACUGCUAGAAUUUAUCAAAGGCAAGGAAGCAGAUUCUCUUCUAAAGCCUUAGAAAAGAAUAUAACUCUGCAGACAUUUUGAUGUUACCCCUGCAGGAUCCAUGUCAGACUUCUCAUCUACAAGAGCUAAUGAAUUUGUGUAGUUUUAAGCCCCUAAACUGGCAGUAAUUUGCCACAACAAUAGAAAUAAAAUACAGUAUCUUUCAAUUUUAUUUUAUUUUAUUUAUUUUAUUAUUUUAUUUUUGUUAUUUUAUAUUUUAUUUUAUUUUUUUUAGAGAGAGUGAGCAGGGGAGAGGCAAAGACAGAGAGAGAAGGAGAGAGACUGAAUCUCAAGCAGGUUCCAUACCCAGCACUGAGCCUGACAAGGGACUAGAAGUCCCAACCUGAGAUCAUGACCUGAGCCAAAACCAAGAGUUUGGUCACUCAACCAACUGAGCCACGCAGGCACCAGUCAACUGUUAUGGUGAUGGUUGUACAAUUAGAUAUUUUUCAAGCAAUAAUUAUGUUUUAAAAUAAAAUUAAAAAUGAUUUUUCAUCAAUUCUUCAAAAAUUUUGACAGAUGGAAAGUAACUAUAAUGUAAAAGUAUUUUGUUUUAUUACUAGCAGAAGUAGUUUCCUUAUCAAUUGAUUAUGAGUUUUUUCCUUAUCAUUGAUUAUGGGUUUUUUCUUUGAAGAUGUGUUGAACAUUAACAUGCCUGCUUUCUCUUCCUGUAAAUCACCACAGAGUAAAAAGGACUUUUGAAUAAAAUACAGAAAAAAAAUUGUUGAUAACAUUUAAAAUUAGAUGCCAGGCAAAAACAAAUGUUUGCUUAGAAAGAAAGUAUUACAUUAACUUUUACAAUGGAAAUGGGAAAAGAAAAUGGCAGGUGGAGUAAAGUGUCUCACCUCCUGAAGGAUAUUAGAGUUAAUCAAGGAAAUAAAUGAUAUAAAAUACUAUUUUUAUAAAUAUAAACACCAAGAAUAAUAAUAUGAUUUACACUAAAUAGUGAAGAAAAUUGACAGAUAUGGAGGAAGAAGGAACAUAAACAUCUACAUUAGUAAAUAAAACUUUAACAAGUAGAUUUGGAGUUUCAAAUAUAAAGUUAUAUAGUUAAUUACUAGAGCAAAAUAUACUAAUAUAAACACAUCACACUCAAAGCAAAAAUGGAUAAAUAAUAAAAGUUACUUUAAAAAUAUAUAGAGAGAAAGCAAAACAAAUAUGGCAUAAAAAAACCAAUACCUAUCUACUGUACCAGUAAAUGCAAUUGGGUAAAACACACACACACACACACACACACACACACACACACACACACACACAAGAAGUAUCUGCUAUCAUAAUUCAAUUGAAUUAAAAGUAAAAUAUGUGACUAUGGGGGUGUCUAGGUGGCUCAGUCGGUUGAGCGUCUGACUUCAGCUCAAGUCAUAAUCUCACAGUUUGUGGGUUUGAGCCACAUAUCAGGCUCUGUGCUGAUUGCUCAGAGUCUGGAGCCUGCUUUGGAUUCUGUGUCUCCUUCUCUGUCUGCCACUCCCACAUUAGCACUCUGUCUCUCUCUAUCUCUCAAAAAUAAAUAAAUGUUAAAAAAAUUAAAUAAAAACUAUGUGACUAUGCUCUAUAUAAAGACACAGGCAAACAAAAUGAAUAGGACUAUUUGAAAAUAAAAUUAAGACUAAAAUUAUACCUGAAGAUAUAAGUUUUCUAAAAAUAAAACCAAUAAUAAAAAAGAAAAACUGACCCCAAAUUAUUAGGUGAUAUAGAAGACCAGUUAAAAAUUAUUUUUUAUAAUAUAAUUAAGAUGUUACUUAUACCUAUGCACCAUAUAAUGUAGCAUCAGUAUUUGUAUGUCUGCAACUACAAAAUAAAAUUUACUGAAACUGAUUAUACAUAAGAAAAAAGUUCAGACAACCUCAUUAUCCUAGAAUAAUUGUUUUAUUUUUAACAUUUUUGUUUACUCAUUUUUGGGGGGAGCAGGGGAAGGAUGGUUUUGUUCAAUCCAAGAAUGCAAGGAUAGUGCAAUAUUACAAAAUAUAUCAAAAUAAUUCAUCAUAUUAAUUUAAGAAAAUAAUAUUUACAUUUUCAGAAAAGCUUAAAAUGCACUUUUAAACCAUCAUUUUAAAGAACAACAAAUGUAUAUAUGAAAUAUUUUCUAACCCUCCCCCCCCCCCAAAAAAAAAAUCCACCCAAGCAAAUAGUAUAG